UACGGAGGGUUCAAGCGUUAUCCGGAUUUAUUGGGUUUAAAGGGUCCGUAGGCGGGCUAAUAAGUCAGUGGUGAAAUCCUAUCGCUUAACGAUAGAACUGCCAUUGAAACUGUUAGUCUAGAAUUAUUUUGAAGUUGGCGGAAUGAGUAGUGUAGCGGUGAAAUGCAUAGAUAUUACUCAGAACACCGAUUGCGAAGGCAGCUGACUAAGAAUAUAUUGACGCUGAUGGACGAAAGCGUAGGUAGCGAACAGGAUUAGAUACCCUGGUCGUCUACGCAGUAAACGAUGGAUACUAGUUGUCGGGGAAAUUGAGACUCGGUGGCUAAGCGAAAGUGAUAAGUAUCCCACCUGGGGAGUACGAUCGCAAGAUUGAAACUCAAAGGAAUUGACGGGGGCCCGCACAAGCGGUGGAGCAUGUGGUUUAAUUCGAUGAUACGCGAGGAACCUUACCUGGGCUUAAAUGUAUUUUGACCGUACUGGAAACAGUAUUUCCCGCAAGGGCAGAAUACAAGGUGCUGCAUGGUUGUCGUCAGCUCGUGCCGUGAGGUGUCAGGUUAAGUCCUAUAACGAGCGCAACCCCUAUCUUUAGUUGCUAGCAGGUGAUGCUGAGGACUCUAAAGAGACUGCCGGUGCAAACCGUGAGGAAGGUGGGGAUGACGUCAAAUCAUCACGGCCCUUACGUCCAGGGCCACACACGUGCUACAAUGGUGCAUACAGAGAGCAGCCAACUUGUGAGAGUGAGCGAAUCUUCAAAGUGCAUCACAGUUCGGAUCGUAGUCUGCAACUCGACUACGUGAAGCUGGAAUCGCUAGUAAUCGCAGAUCAGCCAUGCUGCGGUGAAUACGUUCCCGGGCC
rnacentral:rRNA from 1 species